ACAAAAACACUACUACAUAGUGUCACUGUCCUGUCUUCGUGUCUCUCUCGCUCUAUUUCUGUGUGAGGAAGAGAGUGAGUGAAUGUUUGCGUGUGUGUGUGUGUUGUAAUUCCCAGCAGUUCAGAUUGAGGCUGCUUGGAGGAGGGGUGGGGGGGUGCUGAGGUUUGAAGGAAUGAUUGGAGGAUGGAGGUGGGGGAGUCGAUGAUUGUUAGGUUUAAAUCCAAGAGUGUAUUUCCAGUACUGCAUAGCCAACUGUCUCUCUCUCUCUUUCUCUCUCUCUUUCUUUCUCUCACACACACACACACACACACACUAUAGGCAUUGUGCUGAGUACAUGGCUGCUCUCCAGUGUUGGAGUGCACCGUCCAAACACACUGUAUUGUAGUUUCCCGUCAGCACCUGCCUCCUGUCACUCAUCCGUCCACUCGGAGACAACCCUGACUCUUUGAGGACAUUGAUCUAUAAUAAGCUAGUUAACAACUUUUUCCAAUAGAAACCUGAGUUAAGUGUGAUCUCUACACCAUAAGGGUGACUGACAGAAAGAUUAUCCAGGCAGAACGCAGCACGUGUGUCUGUGAGCCAUAAAGUUUAACAAAUGUACACUAAACCGAAGAACAGGUGAUAAGUCCUGUCCCUUUACAGCACACUCCCCGUGAUGAGUGGCCAGGCUCUGUGGAGGUUACUGACCCAUCUGUGGCCUGCCAUUACAAUCUGACAGAGUGUCUUCGUUCAGUUGGGCCUCAGUUGGAGUCACGUCUUCUGCCAUGAACGCAUUCUGCGUUGGCUGUUCUUCUUCAUCCAAGCCCUCGGACAUGUUCCUCAAAUAUUUCUCCCAGUCGUCUACUGAAGGCCCCACAGCUUCAAAUAAUGUAGGAGGGACUGGAGAGGGACCCUGCUCUGUAGUCACCACAGCACCACCUGCUCUGCACAGUAUUAAACAUCUAUUAGAAAAAAAAAAUGUACAGCAGGGAUUUGCUGAGCUGUAGAUGUGUUCCACCAGCUGAGGCAGAGUUUGGCUGAAGAAGGUCAAGUCCACCCUGUCCCUGAUGUAGUCUUCUGCCCUCUGGAGAAGGUCCAAAAGGCUCUGCAAGAAGAAACGCAUUUCUGGGCAGAGGAAAUAAACAGAAGACGAUGAGCAUAGCUGCAGUAAGAUCACGACGUGUAUACUUCAUUUCCGUUGUUCUUAAAAGCUCUGGACAUGUUGGCUCUCGGCUCCCAGACGCCCCUUAAAACAGAAGAUAUUUUCUAACAUCCAUCUCCCCAGGAAGUGAUGCCGCGGAGUUGAAACCGACCUGAGAUCCGGUCCUGGUAAAUAAGAGGACCUCCAGAAUCUCCCUACAAAACAAAGCAAACACUAAAGUGAUGAUCGAUGACCAACUAUCUGGCUGAAUGAUGAAAGAACAUGAACCAACUCCAUAAGACCAUGAUCAGAGAGCACAGAACAAAACUUUGUUCUAUCCCUUUGUCCCCAUCUUCAUCUUCAUUCUCUCUGAGUGAACUUCAUUAAUGAGCGUUAACAACGUAGACGGACUAAUCCAUGACAUUUCUUAAUGAGGUCACAGAGGGGUGCAGUACAGCGUUAACAGGUAAGAUGAUUAGAGUGAGACACAACAACACUCUGGAGCUGAGUUCAGCAGCAAAACAGGACAUUUGGCUGAGUGGGAGAAAAUUCCUCCAUGAAAUGUUGGGCGACGAUUGUGUUCGCACAGUAAAUACAGAAGUCUUUUAAUAAAACAGUCUUUAUUUCCAUUUAGCACUCAUGUUCCAAAAAGACUGUACGCUUCAGUGUCACUACAGCACGAAUACAACACUGAUCACUGCACUGAUGUGAGUUAGGACUAAAACUAAUGCACACUAACGUUGGGAUCAUAAUCAGACUCAGAGGGAAGUGACACGAGGAGCUUCAGGGCAGGAGAAGGUCACGCUAUGAGCAGAUGUUCUUUUGCCCCCCGUGUGUGAUGGAGCGAUGGAGCUUCUCAGCGGAGGCAGAGAGGAUGGAGCCCAGUGUUCUCCAUCUCUCUGACAGAAGCGGGGCAGCGGUGCGUUCUUUUCCCUCUCCAUCUUCAACGUGUCUCUUUGUGGGACUUUACUGGAGACACUUUGUCGCUGCUCUUUUUCUCUUCCGGCUCUGCCUUCCUCUGAAUCAUCCUCUACUGGUUUGGGACCGAGAAUCCAGUCUGUGAGAUUGGACAUGGAUAAUGUGUAUUGUGAGUUUUCAUGUGAGCUCUCAGACGUUUGCAUUCACUGUUAUGGGAAACCAAAGAAAGGAAAAGUGAGACACACAAGACACAAACCUGUGGGUCAAUGUGAGGGAGUGUCAACAAACAACACAGUUACAAUAAGGGUCAAAGAAGGGAACGUUCACCAUCUGUGGGACAAGAACAGGUCUGGUAGAGUCACAAUUAAAAGGGCAGCGACCAGGAGGAGUGGGAAACACCAGCCCAGUGUUUACCUGCCAGGUCAUGCAUCAGAUCUUUGAUCAGAUGUCCAACUAUAGCGUAAGUGGCCACUAAAACCAGAACUACCCCAACUAGGACGUAGACCACGUUAUGUGGCAGGCUUAUAGCAUCUCUAGGAGGAGGAACGUAGUCCAAAAAAUAGGCCUCCUCCUCUUUGUCCUUCCUGCUGGGCAGCUGGAGGAGCCGUCGAUGCUCCAACAUCACGUGUGUGAGGUUUAAAAGAAGCGGUCCUCCUGAGGUCAAAGGUUUUUGACUUGCAUUGUCAGAAACAACGCUCAUUUCAAUGAAGUUUCUUUGAAUGACUAAGAACUUGUAAUUGUCUUUGUUGCAGCUCCAAAACCCUUCACUAGAAAAAUGAAGAUACAGGAAGGUAAUAAGACAAAACAGGAAGAGGAAAUGAGCAUCAAACGAUUCACAUUUUUCUAAAGAAUCAUCACAAAUUUAAAUGUCAGCCUUGUUGAAAAUGAACCUUUUCUCUCAAAAGUUCCUUUCUUUCACACACACACAUAUUCUUGUUACCAGACAUCUUGACUUCAGGGCAGAGUAUGCAGGCUUUGUUUCCACAAGAGGAGUAAUUUUACCAAGUGCAUUACUGGCAGUCUGUUCCUAUAAAAACCUUUAGAUUUUUGUUGUUGUUGUUGAGGAUAUGAUGCUGCUGCUAGAUAUUAAAAGUUCUUAAUAAUUUAGUAACAUUGCAACAUAUAUAUAUAUAUAAUGGGUUCAUAAAGUCCUAUCUACAGUAUCUAUAUCGAUCUACAGGACCAGGGCAUUGUUCUGCUGGUGAAUACACCACCAUACACUUCUAGUGGUCUGUUAGAAAGACACGAAACAGUUUAAUUUUUCACUCAAACUUCCAGGAUUUGAGUGAAAAGUGAGACAGUGCAGAGGUGAAUAUAGGACAUAGAGCGUUAAUAGGAUUAUGUGUGUCGCAGAGCUGCAUCAGCUUUCCAUCUGCAGGGAUUAGAGAUAUGAGUGAGGUGGGCUGGACAGUAAUAUGUCUGAGAGGCUUAUGGUCUUCCAUCACUACAUCACAUUAUUGCAGACACAUACAGUAAAUCUGUUUCUCCAGGAUUUUAAACUGCUAGAUAUAAUGUGAGUGUGUUAUUCUGUCACAUCACUCCUCUAAUAUGACACCACAUUAUCACGGCUCAUUUCUGGCUCUAUAACAGAACAGAUGGUGAUAUUUGAAGCCUCGCCUCCGUCUUGUAAAAGUCAACCACUGAUAAAAAAAUGAAUAUAUCAAUAAUAUGUGCAGAUCUCUCACCUCAGAG